GACGAACGCUGGCGGCGUGCUUAACACAUGCAAGUCGAACGGAAAGGCCCUGCUUUUGUGGGGUGCUCGAGUGGCGAACGGGUGAGUAACACGUGAGUAACCUGCCCUUGACUUUGGGAUAACUUCAGGAAACUGGGGCUAAUACCGGAUAGGAGCUCCUGCUGCAUGGUGGGGGUUGGAAAGUUUCGGCGGUUGGGGAUGGACUCGCGGCUUAUCAGUUUGUUGGUGGGGUAGUGGCUUACCAAGGCUUUGACGGGUAGCCGGCCUGAGAGGGUGACCGGCCACAUUGGGACUGAGAUACGGCCCAGACUCCUACGGGAGGCAGCAGUGGGGAAUAUUGCACAAUGGGCGGAAGCCUGAUGCAGCAACGCCACGUGCGGGAUGACGGCCUUCGGGUUGUAAACCGCUUCCGCCUGUGACGAAGCGUGAGUGACGGUAAUGGGUAAAGAAGCACCGGCUAACUACGUG
rnacentral:rRNA from 1 species